UUGCUUUCAGAUAAUCUGCUUGCUGGUUCAACAGGCUCAGCCUGGGAUGGCCUACCUCCAGAAUGCUACUCUAGGUUUUUAUGGCAUACCAAGGCUUGAGGAGAAGCUGCCCAGCUGUUAGGAGGAGGAGGUGACUCCCUCAGCAUAGGAGGGGAAAACGGAGCCCCGGGUGGCUCUCUCAACUUAGGGGAUGGAUCCGCUGGUGGCUCCCUCAACUUAGGAGGAGGAGGGGACGGAGGCCUUGGUGGCCUCCUCUCAGGAAAUGGAGGCCUUGGUGGUCUCCUCUCAGGAGGGGGAGGGGGAACAACCCCACCCCCUACGACGACAACGACAGCAUCAACAACCACAACGACGGCCACCACCACCACGACUCCGACCACCACCACCACCACAACUCCGACCACCACCACCACGACUCCGACAACUACCACUACUGGUAAGA